rnacentral:rRNA from 1 species
UGGGGAAUAUUGCACAAUGGGCGAAAGCCUGAUGCAGCAACGCCGCGUGAAGGAAGAAGGCCUUCGGGUCGUAAACUUCUGUCCUUGGGGAAGAAGAACUGACGGUACCCAAGGAGGAAGCCCUGGCUAACUACGUGCCAGCAGCCGCGGUAAUACGUAGGGGGCAAGCGUUAUCCGGAAUUAUUGGGCGUAAAGAGCUUGUAGGCGGUUUGUCGCGUCUGCUGUGAAAGCCCGGGGCUUAACCCCGGGUUUGCAGUGGGUACGGGCUAACUAGAGUGCAGUAGGGGGAGACUGGAAUUCCUGGUGUAGCGGUGGAAUGCGCAGAUAUCAGGAGGAACACCGAUGGCGAAGGCAGGUCUCUGGGCUGUAACUGACGCUGAGAAGCGAAAGCAUGGGGAGCAAACAGGAUUAGUCC